rnacentral:lncRNA from 1 species
AAAAAAAAUAGGCGUAAUUACCAAUAUACCACCGAGGUUUCCAAUUCAUUUUACAAAUGCAACAAGAUUGUCACUCAGUAUUAAUUUUAAUCAUCAUGUAAUACAGCAUUUAAAAUCGUUUGAUGCACAAAGGCGUGCCCUUUCAUCAACUUUACAGGGUGUAGCUACCGCAAGUAUAGUCCAAAUAAUUAUGAUGUCUGGCAAGGCUAUUUUAUUUUUUUUUCUGGGACGCCGUUGUAGCAGAGACAUAUAAUACAUAUAUGUCUCUGGUUGUAGUAAGGCGUCCCAGAAAAAAAAUAAAAUAGCCUUGCCAGACGUCGUAAUUAUUUGGACUGCCGCAAGUAUACAAUGAAUCUCUGUCAAAGGGCUCCUCCUGCCAAGUCUCGAAUGUCAGCACAACUUUAUCAAGGAAUCCUCUAUCAGAUCUGAACAUAUUUGCCAAUGCUACAAUAACCAGCGGAACAUUUACAAUUAAUUUAGUAAAUAAAGAUCGACCUACCCAAUUCUCCUUGUGCGUCCACCG